UACGAAGGGGGCUAGCGUUGUUCGGAAUUACUGGGCGUAAAGCGCGCGCAGGCGGUUCUUCAAGUCAGAGGUGAAAGCCCAGAGCUCAACUCUGGAAUGGCCUUUGAGACUAGAGAACUAGGGGUACGAGAGAGGUGAGUGGAAUUCCGAGUGUAGAGGUGAAAUUCGUAGAUAUUCGGAAGAACACCAGUGGCGAAGGCGCUCACUGGCCCGUUACCGACGCUCAGGCGCGACAGCGUGGGGAGCAAACAGG
rnacentral:rRNA from 1 species